rnacentral:rRNA from 1 species
UACGAAGGGGGCUAGCGUUGCUCGGAAUCACUGGGCGUAAAGCGCACGUAGGCGGCUUCUUAAGUCAGGGGUGAAAUCCUGGAGCUCAACUCCAGAACUGCCUUUGAUACUGAGGAGCUUGAGUCCGGGAGAGGUGAGUGGAACUGCGAGUGUAGAGGUGAAAUUCGUAGAUAUUCGCAAGGACACCAGUGGCGAAGGCGGCUCACUGGCCCGGUACUGACGCUGAGGUGCGAAAGCGUGGGGAGCAAACAGG